CUGAACAGCAAGGGCUCUGUGAUUGGUGGGAACUGGUCUGCUGGGAAAGGAAAAAAUAAUAAUGCAUUUAAAUGCCAUCUGCUUGGAGGAGUUGGGAGCUGAGUAUUGAUUGCAAGGGGGCUAGGACCCUCAAAAGCAGCAAUGAGAAGCUCUGCACAGAGACAUCUUCGGUCCCAAAUAGGCUUCUUCCCUUUCUGCACAUGCUGAUCCACAGUGAAUCAGAGCUUACCUAUAGCUUCAGCACUUGGG